rnacentral:rRNA from 1 species
GGGGGAAUAUUGGGCAAUGGGGGGAAACCCUGACCCAGCGACGCCGCGUGGGUGAAGAAAUCCCUCGGGAUGUAAAGCCCUGUUGUAUGGGAAGAGCAGAAGACGGUACCAUACGAGGAAGCCCCGGCAAACUACGUGCCAGCAGCCGCGGUAAUACGUAGGGGGCAAGCGUUGUCCGGAAUUACUGGGCGUAAAGCGCACGCAGGCUGAAUUAUAAGUCGGUAGUCAAAUACGGAGGCUCAACUUCCGGAUAUCUAUCGAUACUGUAAAUCUAGAGUAUGUGAGAGGGAAGCGGAAUUCCCGGUGUAGCGGUGAGAUGCGUAGAUAUCGGGAGGAACACCGAGUGGCGAAGGCGGCUUCCGUGGCACAAUACUGACGCUCAUGUGCGAAAGCUAGGGCA